CCAAUAGCGUAUAUUAAAGUUGUUGCAGUUAAAAAGCUCGUAGUUGAAUUUCGGGAUCAAUUCGUCGGUCGUGCUUUUUUGGUACGUACUGGGGUUAUUGGUUUCUCCCUUCUGACGAACCAUGAUGUCAUUAAUUUGGUGUUAUGGGGAGUUAGGACUGUUACUUUGAAAAAAUUAGAGUGUUUAAAGCAGGCAUUAGCUUGAAUACAUUAGCAUGGAAUAAUGAAAUAGGACGUUCGAUCCUAUUUUGUUGGUUUCUAGGAUCAACGUAAUGAUUAAUAGGGAUAGUUGGGGGCAUUAGUAUUCAAUUGUCAGAGGUGAAAUUCUUGGAUUUAUUGAAGACUAACUACUGCGAAAGCAUUUGCCAAGGAUGUUUUCAUUAAUCAAGAACGAAAGUUAGGGGAUCGAAGACGAUCAGAUACCGUCGUAGUCUUAACCAUAAACUAUGCCGACUAGGGAUCGGAUGAUGUUAAUUUUUUAAUGACUCAUUCGGCGCCUUACG
rnacentral:rRNA from 1 species